UUAGCGACUUUCCACAAGUACACCUGGCUGCAGCCUGCAGAUUUGGGCGAGGAUGCACCUGGUACGGGACUGCACGUGCAGGCCCUCCCACACUGCUUCUCAUUGGACGGGACUGCACGUGCAGGCCCUCCCACACUGCUUCUCAUUGGUUAGUGGCGUGAAGUCAUGACGUCGAUUUAGCAAGUUUUCAUUUCCGAUGUUUAUCGCUGCAUGCCUGUCAUGCCUUGCAUUAGUGUCUGGUGCUUUUGGAGAAUUCAUCCGUUGAGGUUUGUUUGUUUUCUUUUUUUUUAAUACACACUGUUCAUUGAAGCUUCAAUUACCAAAUGCUUAAUUUUAGCAUUUAAAAAAAAAUGUUUUUAACUAUAAUUAUAAAUUCAUUACAUGUAUUAAUCUAAACAAGUGGAUUUCAAUUAUGGUCCUAAGGGAUGUCAUUAAGAACAAACUGUCUUUAUGAGACUUUAUAUUUUAAACUUUUGAAGGUCAGAGAUGCUGAAAGUGCAACUCCAGUAAAAGAGGAGAGUAGAGAGCAGGUACUGGUUCCCAUUUCAAAUCUUGAACCUAAAUAACAGGGGUUUGAAAAUGAUGCUACUCUUGUUCUUACUCUCCAAUUUAGAGGUGAUGAAAUCCCCCUGCAUGUUGGUUAUUUGACCAAGAUGCCGAUUGACAUCCUCUGGCGGAUCCUCAUGGAAGUCGUUACAGAGACGGCGUUGUGGCUUUCUGGAGACUUUCACUGAUGUGCAAGGUCUUCAUGGACGUUGUCAGCAAACCCAAAUUCACUGUAUGGCUGGACAGUAAGUUUUUUAAAAUCUAUAUUGUGAGUACUGUAAAAGAUAAUUGAGAAAGUCGGUCUGUCCGUCCAUCCAAUUCUGUUUCUUCAUUUGUGCAAUCUAUCUAUCUGUCUGUUCUUCCUAUCUAUUUGUCUGUCUGUCUGUCUGUCUAUCUAUCCGUCUCUGUCUGUCUAUCUCUACCUAUCUGUCAUGUCUAUCCAUCCGUCUGUCUGUGUCUGAUAGACUGUAUUGCCUUCAAAACUUUCAGCUUGAAAACUACUUUGAUCUGCAAACUGAAAAUCUUCUAUUUCAAACUUUUAAGAUAGGCUUUCUCAAGUCAAAUUUAAGUUUGUGUUGACAAAUUUUUUUUAAC